GCGCGACGCCGUGGCAGCACUGAUCGGUGACGUCGCGGCGCUGCGCGUUCGCCUGCUGCGUACGUGUUGUGUGUGCGUGUGUACGUGUGUUCGUGCGCGAAAACGAGGUGCCGGCGCAGCAAACGAAGAACGAAGGAUGGAUUUCUGCCGGAAAGAAAUCCACGUCGGUGAUGGGCUGCUCGCUAACGACUCGCGGAUCACGUCCGUCGACUUCUCAAUCUUCGACAGCGAGGGAAGAAACGGACCUGAAGUAAGACGCACGAGCGACUUCAGGAUGAACUAUGACGCGAAUUAUGUGCCAAAUCAUACACCAAGCGUGCGUUCAAGCAGCCAUUACCAUUCGACCAUCGUAGUUUGUGUGUAUAACGAAUCAUCGGACUCUGACGCCUGCUAAUGACGGAAUGAAUUAUGCAGUCCAGACUUCAGUUCGUUCGACAGAUUAUGGUUGCAUCCACAUGAUGUCAGUGCACAGCUAGAUAAAUACGCGAUCGGAUCUGCAGCAGAUUUUGCGCCGGUGCGUUCGAUGGGGAAUAGCGAUGAGUAUGCGAAUGACAAAAGUGCACUUGCACACCGCCUAACGACGGCCUGCAGCCGCAGGACGAGACCACUCCACGAUUCCAACUGCCGGCGGCGUCCUCUCCACGAGUCAGUGAGUAGGAAUAUCUAGCGACUAGAUAUUUGAGCAGUGAUGCCACGACAUUGAACGUCAGAAACCAUGCUGGGAACUGGUAGGUGCCAGUCGUUUACUAACUAUCGGAUGUCGGUUUUGUCAAGCGAGUGUUACCGUCUCUGACGUCAUGUAGAGAGAGAGAGAGAGAGACACGAAACCUUUAAUGUGAGCACCUUGAUGUCGAAAGCGUCAAGAGACACACGUGGUUGUAAAAAUAUAUACAUAGUGCUACGAAAUGCGCGGACUAUUUUAUGAUAAUGAAAUAUAAAUACGAUUUAUUCAAUUUCCCCCUCAACUGCGGUUGUCAUGGAGAUUGCAACAAAGUAUCAUUACGAGUGUUAAAUGCAGUAUGCAACGGCAGUUGAAAUGCGAAAGGAUCGAUCAUGUUAGAUGACGCAGAGUUUUCUUAAAAUGUUGAAUAAUAUUGAAUAAACGUAUGCUUUGUUUAUUUAUUUUUCGCAACUAUUAUUUAUAAAGAAUUAUAACAGUGACUUUGGCAUUUCUCUAGUUUCGGUAUGUUGUGUAGGCACAAAUACUUUUUGUAACUAAAAUAUUUCAAUAAUAAGUAGGAUUAGACUGAUAUAUAUAUAUGAUGAAUAACACAAGAAAUACGAAGAAACUUUGUUUAAUAAUAUUUUCUUGUCAGUAAUUACAUACAUUUUUCAGUUCUAUAAAUUAUGUACUACUAUGGUUGUCGAAAAACCAAUUAAAAUUAGAACUUAUAUCUCAAAUUAACUUAAUUGUCAGAUUUAAUAAGUGACAUGAAAAUAUUAUUAAACACGAAGAUUUGCAUCGAUCGAAAAAUGAUACUUUUCAUUUCUAUAUAAAAUAUUCCAACUUGCAAUAAUAAAAUUUUAUAUCUAUUUGAAAUAUAAAUACAAAUCUAAAAAAUAUUUUACAAUCUUUAUAACAUACUUUUGCACUUAUACUUAUUGUACUAUCAAAUUAGAAACACUAACAAUAAGACUUAUAAUCAUCUCACACGACUUUAACAAAAAAUGCAAUUGAAGAAAUAUUUUGAUUACAUUAUAAUAUGAAUGUAUAAAAAACUGAUCUGAAUAAUAAGUUGUAAUAAUCCUUAUGUAUUUUUUAAAUUAAUAAAAUAUUCUUGUUUUCAGUAAAUUUGCAUUGCACCCAAACCGAUUUCUCAAUGGACGAUCUACCGCGAAAGGCAAAUAGAGAGUCGCACGCGAGAACAUUCCGCCCGUCGAUCGGGUUGACCUAAAGAGUCAUCGCUACGUGACAUUGUUACUUUUCAAAGGUUAUCGUCGCGAAUUAUCCGCGCGAGUCGGGAGAGCGCGCGAAAUCCUCGUCGAGAGCUCGUCAUGCCGGAACCAUGCUCGAUAGUCGGGAGGCACGUUCCCGAGCGUGCGCCCGUCUUUACGGCACUCUGUCGCGCAAGUCGUUAACUGCCUGAGGCCCGCGGGGCCCAGGAAACGCGGGGCUGCCUCCACGAUGAGAUCUCCACCUCGUGACCCUAUGUCAUGGAGCGAUAUUUACGUCGCCGGUAAACGCCGGCGAGCUGAGAAUCGUCUCUCGUCACGCUCCGGAUGUGUAAAGAGCAAAAUGGAGCAAGCAUCGACACGACAACGGUGUGUCUUACACGGGAGAUGAAUAUGAGCGAUAUGCACGUAUAUUCCUGAUGUUGCCACGGACUAUACACUGGAAACUAGGACAGUUACUUUUGACAACUUCGAACUCUCUAAAACGGAAUCAGUGUAUUAUUUAUUGAAAGGCAGUGAAUAAUUUGAUUUCAGUGCUUAUAAUUUUGUGAUAUGUGUACUAUCUUUUAUUGAUAACACAAUGAUUCUAAUAAGAGUCAAUAAGACCCCCUCCUCUCUCUUAAUCAGUGAAUCAUCACUGAUCACAAUUAUAAGUAUAUCACUGCAAAUUAAUAAGAUUUUAUUGAUUCAGAUUUAGAGAGAAUUCUAAUUUUCAAAGCUUGAAAAUUGUCAAAAAUAACAGAUCUAUUGAAAACGUGGAUUCCAGGUAAAUACACGCUUUGUACGAGUAAGUAUACGUGUGUAAAAUUCUAAAUACUGAAAUAUAUAUGUGUAUUAAGAAAAAGAUUAGAGGGAUUUUAUACGCAGAAGUCAAGAUGGAUAGGUAGAAUAAAUCUUGUGAAUCGUUUUCUCAGACAGCAAAUUUUCCUGUAAUAAUUUGACAUUUAUCUAGACGUAUAUAAAACUUGCCAUUUCGCUUUAUUCUAUUUAUGUAUCUCGUAACGUGCAGAAAGUCGUGCACAUGACAUGCUCGUAAACGUCAUCAUCAACAAGUUUAAUAGUAAUAUCGCGCAACACAUAGCUAAUGUAUUCCUAAAGAUGAGAUCGGAUUGUCAAUCAUAUGACAAUCUCUGUCAAGGAAAAAGCCAUUUCUUAAAAGCAUUAAUUGAAGUUAAAGUAAUGAAUGUAUGAAGCUCGCGAAACAAUAAUUGAAACUUCAAACAGUUUCUCCUACGUAGAAGUACAAACACCUAUUGAAAAAUAUAUGAUACUUAAUCCCUACAUAUUUCAGUUAUUUAGUUAUUAAGUUUUUUGAGAGCUAUUUGAACCAAUUAUUUCUCACGUAUCGGGCACAAUUUCUAUGACGAUUAUCGUCGUAAGAUUUCUCUAAUUGAAAUCGUGACAAUUAAGGAUUAUAAGCAAAAUCGAAGAAAGAAUUCUGAUAGGAUAUACGAUCGAUUUGCAUACGCUUAUGAUCAUUCGCCGCUCCUCGUAAACGGGCGAAAACACCAUACUUGGAGUGACGGAAUCGCAUCGGCAGCCAUACUUUAAGGACACUUGGAUUCGAGUUGAAAACGAUAUCAACGCACGAUCGGCGUCUCUCGACUGAAGUUUAUGAACGUGCUCGGGGGGCCGUUGACACCACCGGCCCGAUCUAACCCCGGAGGUAAGCGGCAUUCGCACCGCGAGAAUUCGCAUAAUUGCUGACGGAUGCUAAUGCGCCCCGCCGUGUCACGCUGCGCAGGAAGAAAAACCAGAUUCGCAAGUUCCACAAGCGUGGCCACGCCGAGGUCCUGGGAUUAUCGAAGUGGACCUUGGAGAUGAGCACGAGAAGUAGUUUAGGCGAUACUUCGGGUAUCCGAUGACUUCUGAAAUCAUUCGACCUUUUUUUUUUACCACCAACCGCGGAUCGUCAACACAUGUACGCCUUUGAUUAUUUAUGGUUCUACCUGAAUGGUUGAAUUCACGACGAAUGUCUACAAGGAAGAAAUCGUUCAAUUAGUAUUAAUUGUAUAUUAAUGCGCGAGUUGUCGAAACGACUAAAUAUAUCUCUCCAAAUGACAUCAGCGCAGAAAUUGACGUGACUAUUCGAAUACGAUAAAUGAUUUAACGAUAAAACGAAGCGCGAUGUGAGUCACAGUUUAAGCGGGAUGAAAUUAAUAAUCUUUCUUUAUAUACUGGACUAUUUCAUUCUCAGGACAUAACGCAGAUUUGAGCAAUUAAUAAUUUUGUGCAAACUUCUUAGGUUUAAUAAUAACAUGCAAGAUUCUGCGUAAUUUAUUCCAAUUUGCAUGGUCAUUUGCAUGAUAGAAUACAUACUUUAUUUAUGCAUAAAUCGAGACUUACAACAGCUGUAAUCACACAACGAGAUCAUUCAAGAGGUUAAUUAAAAAAUAAAGUAAAGACUGUAAAAACAGAGCAAGGAUGCAUUUAAAAUCCUCUAGUUUGAAAUUAUGUUAUACAAUUUGUUAUACAAUUUCUUUUUAUACACACAUCUUAGGGAGAUAUUCGUAUAAUCGAUAAAAGAACGUUUUACAUCGACAUGUAAAAGAUUCCAAGGCAUUCUCAUAUGUAUUAAUUUGUAAAUAUUUUAUACAGAUGACUCAGGUUAAGAAAAAAGGAAUAAAUAAUGCAAUCUAUGUAAUUUCGAACCCAAUUUCUCAGACGUUUAUUUUCGGAUAUGUUGCGAAAACAUUAAUUAUUACAAAAUAUUAAACAGUAUUAUAAAAAUUGCCAUCUGAAGAUAUUUUCUAAUUCACAUAUGUUUCCAAAGUAUUAUUUUUAAUUUUUGUUUAAGAAAUAUUAUCCGAAAACAAAUUAAUAUGCCGGUAUUAGAUUCUUUUCUACGUUAUUUUAUAUAAUUUUUUAAUUACAAUGCUAUAUUAUUGAUUCGACUAUUUGCACAUAAUUUAUUCAUCGUGAAGUUUUCGUGUAAUGUUUCAAGUCAGAAAUUUUUAUUAACGAGCACAAACUGCAAUCUUUCUUGGCAUAUCAAUUUAUAUGUUUAAACUGUGUAAAUAUUCACAUCAUAUCGUAUAAUAUAAAGAUACCGCAUGAUUUUCGUCUCUGCGGCCUUGUCCGUGCGAUAACACCGGACAAAUGUCACUUCUGAUGUCGCCGAUACGCCGCAAUAUAUAGUAUAUAAUCUUGAUGUAUCUAAUGAAUCAUUGCAUGCAUUAAAUUGACCACGGUGAUACCCUAUUUGAUAUGAUGACAUUUUGGGUUUUUCCAAGGACCCGGCAAUCCAAUCACUUAUCCGCGCAUCUCUACAUAUUAAUCCCUCUGUUUACAUAUGCACAUACGUAUUAUGUACACGCGAGAUAUAUGUAUAUUUACCGCACGUACUUCGAGAUAUAACUUCUUCGAACACGAAACUACAGUCAGGGGUGCACAUCGUAUACGAAUAAAGUAUUCAAACGUAUUUUACAGAGCCAAGAAUAUCGUAUGUAACAACGACAGGGUUUGAGUAUUUGCUCGUGCACCAGUCUGUAUAUACUGAGAGCGCAGAACUGUCUGGCGAGUUAAUCAGCUACGUGUGGAUAGGAUCUAUCUAUCCGUAUCCGUACAGACAUGGAAUUACACGCAAGCUCUUACAGUUCUUCGUAAAUGCGUCCGGCAUAUCUCAGUCCCCUUCUUUCUCGUUAUGUAUCGAGAUAAAUUGUGGCUUCUGCUUAGCGAGCGAGAUGUACCUUUUCUUUGAACAUUCGUAGAAACGAGAACAUUGGCCGGCUGGAAAAUAUGGCGUUACGGAAUAACGUGAGAAAUUUCUAUGGAGAUAUUCACACACAAAUCACGGUUUGGCGAAUCAUUUUUGCAUCUAUUUUUCUUAGUAUUUAUCAUAUCAUGGUCUCAGCCAGCAAAAGAUACAUAUUUUGUUUUAAUUAGAACAAUUUACCCGUUUUAUGUCUUUCAUUGUACAAGAACUUGCAAAAUGUUGACUCAAAUUU